rnacentral:rRNA from 1 species
UACCAGCACCUCGAGUGGUCAGGAGGUUUAUUGGGCCUAAAGCAUCCGUAGCCGGCUGUUCAAGUUUCCGGUUAAAUCCACACGCUUAACGUAUGGGCUGCCGGAAAUACUGUUCAGCUAGGGAGUGGGAGAGGUAGACGGUACUCGAUAGGAAGGGGUAAAAUCCUUUGAUCUAUUGAUGACACCUGUGGCGAAGGCGGUCUACCAGAACACGUUCGACGGUGAGGGAUGAAAGCUGGGGGAGCAAACCGGAUUAGAUACCCGGGUAGUCCCAGCUGUAAACGAUGCAGACUCGGUGAUGCAUUGGCUUGUGGCCAGUGCAGUGCCGCAGGGAAGCCGUUAAGUUUGCCGCCUGGGAAGUACGUACGCAAGUAUGAAACUUAAAGGAAUUGGCGGGGGAGCACCACAAGGGGUGAAGCCUGCGGUUCAAUUGGAGUCAACGCCAGAAAUCUUACCCGGGGAGACAGCAGAAUGAAGGUCAAGCUGAAGACUUUACCAGACAAGCUGAGAGGUGGUGCAUGGCCGUCGCCAGCUCGUGCCGUGAGAUGUCCUGUUAAGUCAGGUAACGAGCGAGACCCUUGCCUCUAGUUGCCACCAUUACUCUCUGGAGUAGUGGGGCGAAUUAGCGGGACCGCCACAGUUAAUGUGGAGGAAGGAGAGGGCCACGGCAGG